CUAAUUUUUUUUUCUUAUUCUUCCUUCUUCUCCUCUAUUGACCGCAAAAAGGAAUUCUCUUUUCUUCUCCGUCCUUUCUUCUUCUCAAUUUUCUCUGUUUUCUCUGCUAUUGGUUUUAUAUUGUCGGUGCGGUUUUUGAGGAAGAGAUAAGUAACUAAAUCCAGUGGUGAUAGUCAUGGAUGUGCAGGUAUGCGAGAGAAUCAAAGAGACAAUAUAAAGGUGACAACAAGAGAUUGGGUUCUCCCGCGAUUACAGGUGAUAACUUACUUCCUACGAUUUUUUCCCUUUGCAUCAAUGUUUCUGAGAGUAUCUAAGCUGUGGUUACGUUAGUACCAAACACUCUUCAAGUAAAAAGUUGAUAUGCUUCGAUUAUUGUUUCGGAAAAGACACCUGCUGGCGGCCAUUAGGAAGAGGAUCAAAAGAGCGACGAUGAAAUGCUACUGGUUGUCAACAUAAGUGAAAACGAAGGCACGAAGGCGAAGGUGAGGAUAUUGGCGGCGAAAGGCCACCCUUGGUCGAAGAUAGUGAUGCCACCAUAUAUCUCGCGAUUGAAGGUACUGACAGAGGCUUCUCCGUCGCCUGCUUUUACCAGUAUGGUACCUGGAUGCUGAUUAUGCCGUUUCAAGGGUACUGAUCUUAGAAGUUGUUUUUUACCAGUUUGUUGCUCGCUACACCAAGCAUAUGAAUUAAUCCGGCAAUUAAAAAACACGGAAGAGUAAAGAUGGAGUAGACAAGCUAUAGUGAGGGUAACAGGUCUCCUCACGGAAAUGUGAAAAUGCAACCAGACAAUGCAUAUGCUUUGAGAAAGUAUGGCCACAAAGAAAUUGUUGACUUUUCCUUCCCUAGGUGAUUACUAUACAUUAUUAUCAACUAAGCAUGGAAUGAUGCGAUUGUACAGACUCACAAAACUCUUACGUGCUAUGAAUCUAUUGUGGAAUUGGAUGUAUGAGUACCACUACCAGAAUAUGAAAUGAUUAGUUACGGGGAAGCAUUUUGGAGGGUGUAUGAAUGAAAGUUCAUGAAUUUCCUUGAGUUUUGGACAAGUGUUGUCUGUGCAUACAGUUCUGAACCUGACUUCCGGCCCUUGGCUUAUCCCUUUGCUCAAUCACAUUGCUGCUUCUUUGGGUACUUUCAUUCCUGGAUUUUUACUGAUGAUGAACAACCAUCUAGAUCAAAGCGUACUACGGAUCCGGUGUCCACGCGGUUUCUGGAAUUGAUGCGCAGUUGCUCAUUAAGAAAUUCUCACACUAUGAAAUUCGAAUAACACAUUAGUAGUUUGUUCUUUUCCCUGUUUUUAUAACUUAUGAGGUAGUUCCAUUAGUUAGGACAACCAAUACGUUAGGAUGCCAUGUUUCUUAAUGCUUGCACUGUGAAGCGGAACUAUCAUUCAUCUAUUGCAGUCCAAUUAUUCUGCCA